GGGGGGAGCGAGACUUGUGAAUGCGAGUGGAGCCGGAGAGGAAUCCUGUGACGACGGAGCGAUACCAGGGAGGCAGCUGCAGGAGAAAACUCUACAUACAAGGAUCAUAUAUGAUAUCAGCAUAGAUGUGAAGCCGGACAGCAGGCAGGAGGAGCAUUAUGCAUGGCAUUCAGGAAUUCAGGGUAAAUAAACCAGUAAACUUUUGCAAUACCAGUUGGCUCCAAAGCAAAAGGACAAAGGCAUAAAAAAACAACAACAACACUGGCCAUCCAUUUCUUAUGUGUAGAAGAGGAAUUGGUGGACACUGAAAACCCACCAGACAAGAAUUCUUCUGACAGAAGACUAAAAAGCAGAACAUGGAACCUGGGCAGCCAUAGAGGGAGGGAUGGGACACAACUUUAGGGGCCACAAAUGCUAUACAUCUACUGGGCCCCAUAAGAAAAUGCUGGUUCCAAUGACAGCCCUCCAUGGAACACCCUUGCAUAAAUUCAUCUUUAAUUGCAUACUGUAUUUUUAUUAGGGAGACUGGGAAGGGAGGGUAGAAGCUACAAUUUUUAGACCCAGAGCUAUCUUAAUUUAAUCUAUACUUUUCAAGGGAGUAUUUGUAUGGGUAAAAUGCAACAAAGGAAAAGUCUUAGUAUCCAAAACAAUCUGAGCACUUUUCAGAUGCUAACCUUUUUAGUGAAUUGGCAGGGAAUGCUGGUCUCCAAACUGCAAGCCCACUGGUGUGGCUGAGUUGUUAUCUGCCUGGGAGAUAGGGCUGACUUGAAGGCACUCUUCGUUCCCUAUUUUACUCCUCUGCACUUUUAACUCACAUCCCUCACAGAUGUAAUGUAAUGUAAUAGCCCAAAUCUGCUGGGUCAAUAUAUUGUAACUGUGCUUACUGUAUUAUAUAGAACUUUCUGAUAAUUCCUGGGUUCUUUUUGUGGAUUGUGUCAAUAUCUGCAACCCACAUGAGUUAAGCAAGUUGGGCAUUAUUGCCAUUACUGGUGGCACAUGCAUUGGUGGACCUUAAGUGAUGCCAUCCCAGACCACAUCUGUUAAUGUUUUCAUAACUUGUGUAAAUAAUCUUGUUAGAUAUUUUUGUGAAGUUGAAAUAAGUGAGAGAAAAUGGGGGAGAGCAAAGACAUGGCACAAUUGAAAUCUUACAAUGGGGGAUGCAUAAUGCAGAGUGUGAAGAAAGCAGAGCAAACAUGUAUGAUGACCAUAUGGCGGGGGCAGAAUCAAGUGGA